rnacentral:rRNA from 1 species
AUGGCCGAAUGCUUCAAUAGGGUGCUCAAAGGUGCACGUGGAUUACCCGUGACAGCAAUAGUUCAAUACACAUUUGACAAUAUGAAUGCGUACUUUCUAAAGUACUCGAUGGAAACGGAUGCACAGAUAGCGAGUGAGAACCCGCACAAGUACAAGUACAAGUUCCCACCCAAGGUUGAUGAAUGGUUAGAAUUUCAAUCACGGAAGGCGGACUCAGAAGAAGCUAUAUUAUAUGACAACGAAGAGUGGAAGUACGAAGUGAAAGAGCCAGGAGGAACCACAAACGAUGGCCGCCAACAUGGAGGUCGGGCUUUCAAGGUGUUGUUAACACAAUGUGAUUGCUCUUAUGGGAGGCCAGUGUUGCUUCAUCUCCCAUGCUCACACUUGUAUGCCGCCGGUCGCGUUAGGAAUGUGGACAUCAAUCACCCACGCACCGUGAGGGAGUUGGAGUUCUCAAUCAUGACGGUCAAGAAAACACGGGCUCCCCGCUUUCACCCAUAUUUUGACCAAUCACAAUGGCUGGAGUACCAUGGUGUUCAACUAUGGCCGGAUCCGGAGUUGAAGGUUGUUAAACGGGGUAGACGUAAGACAAAGCGUCUUAGAGGCGACAUGGACGGAUGGGGCCAUGGUGGCCGCCGCGAAGCGGGCAACGACCAAUUCCAAGAGCCUCGUGAGAUCUCCCGUUGUGGGGAGUGCAAAGGUCAUGGCCACAACAAAAGAAAUUGUACUAAACCAAGGAAAAGGUCCAAGAAAAAUGAUGCAAGCACAAGCUAA